UACAGAGGUCUCAAGCGUUGUUCGGAUUCAUUGGGCGUAAAGGGUGUGUAGGUGGCGCGCUAAGUCGGGUGUGAAAUCUCGGAGCUUAACUCCGAAACUGCAUUCGAAACUGCCGUUCUUGAGGGUUGCAGAGGAGACUGGAAUUCCCGGUGUAGCGGUGAAAUGUGUAGAGAUCGGGAGGAACACCGGUGGCGAAGGCGGGUCUCUGGGCAACUCCUGACGCUGAGGCGCGAAAGCGUGGGGAGCAAACGGG
rnacentral:rRNA from 1 species